GUUGGGAUUACCGCCGUUAUGGUUCCCGAGGUUGGGAUUACCGCGGUUAUGGUUCGCGAGGUUGGGAUUACCGCGGUUAUGGUUCCCGAGGUUGGGAUUACCGCGGAUCAGGUUUCUGACAUUAAGGUUACUGGAAUAUGGUUUAGCGAUUAGUGGUUGCGUUCCUGGGAUUACCGAGAUAGCACUACAGAGGGUUACCAAGAUUAGGUUCAUUGAAAGUAGGCUCAGGGUUACCAUGCUUAAAGGCCAAGGUUAUUGAGGUUGGGUUUAGGUGUAGGA
ensembl:lncRNA